UGACGCUGGCGGCAGGCCCUACACAUGCAAGUCGAGCGGUAACAGGAGAAAGCUUGCUUUCUUGCUGACGAGCGGCGGACGGGUGAGUAAUGUAUGGGGAUCUGCCCGAUAGAGGGGGAUAACUACUGGAAACGGUGGCUAAUACCGCAUGACGUCUACGGACCAAAGCAGGGGCUCUUCGGACCUUGCGCUAUCGCAUGAACCCAUAUGGGAUUAGCUAGUAGGUGAGGUAAUGGCUCACCUANGCGACNAUCUCUAGCUGGUCUGAAAUAUGAUCANC
rnacentral:rRNA from 1 species